UAGGGAAUCUUCCACAAUGGGCGAAAGCCUGAUGGAGCAACGCCGCGUUUGUGAUGAAGGGUUUCGGCUCGUAAAACACUGUUGUAAGAGAAGAAUGACAUUGAGAGUAACUGUUCAAUGUGUGACGGUAUCUUACCAGAAAGGAACGGCUAAAUACGUGCCAG
rnacentral:rRNA from 1 species